AUAAUGGAGGUAUAAUAGGUGGGUUAGUAUAGAAUAAUGGAGGUAUAAUAGGGGGGUUAGUAUAGAAUAAUAGAGGUAUAACAGGGGGAUAGCACAGAAUAAUGGAGGUAUAAUAGAAUGGAGGAGGUUUAAUAGGUGGGUUAGUAUUAGAUAAUGGAGGUAUAAUGGGGGGUUAGUAUAGAAUAAUGGAUGCAUAUCAGAAUGUAGGAGGUAUAAUUGGGGGGUUAGUAUAGAAUAAUGGAGGUAUAUCAGAAUGUAGGAGGUAUAAUUUGGGGGUUAGUAUAGAAUAAUGGAGGUUUAUCAGAAUGUAGGAGGUAUAAUAGGUGGGUUAGUAUAGAAUAAUGGAGGUAUAACGGAGGGUUAGUAUAGAAUAAUGGAGGUAUAACAGGGGGUUAGUAUAGAAUAAUGGAGGUAUAACAGGGGGUUAGUAUAGACUAAUGGAGGUGUAACAGGGGGUUAGUAUAGAAUAAUGGAGGUAUAACAGGGGGUUUAGUAUAGAAUAAUGGAGGUGUAACAGGGGGUUAGUAUAGAAUAAUGGAGGUAUAACAGGGGGUUAGUAUAGAAUAAUGGAGGUGUAACAGGGGGUUAGUAUAGAAUAAUGGAGGUGUAACAGGGGGUUAGUAUAGAAUAAUGGAGGUGUAACGGGGUUAGUAUAGAAUAAUGGAGGUAUAACAGGGGUUUAGUAUAGACUAAUGGAGGUGUAACAGGGGGUUAGUAUAGAAUAAUGGAGGUAUAACAGGGGUUUAGUAUAGAAUAAUGGAGGUAUAACAGGAGGUUAGUAUAAGAUAAUAGAGGUAUAACAGGGGGUUAGUAUAGAAUAAUGGAGGUAUAACAGGGGGUUAGUAUAGAAUAAUGGAGGUAUAACAGGGGUUUAGUAUAGAAUAAUGGAGGUAUAACAGGGCGUUAGUAUAAGAUAAUGGAUGUGUAACAGGGGGUUAGUAUAGACUAAUGGAGGUGUAACAGGGGGUUAGUAUAGACUAAUGGAGGUGUAACAGGGGGUAAGUAUUGAAUAACGGAGGUAUAACAGGGGUUUAGUAUAGAUAAUGGAGGUUUGUAAAGAAACGUUACAGUUGGAGUAAAUGCACCACCUACAUAGAACUAGAUUAGCCAAACAUUCCAAGAUUGAAAAAUGAAGUUGUUACUGAAUAAAAUAAAUAGCAACAAUACAUUUUAUUUGUAUUGCGCUUUUCAAGACACUCAGUGUAUGGGCAUUAGGCAAUAUAUGAAACAAUAAUAGAAGUAGAGACGUGAGAACCAUGGUGUUAUGGACUUUAUUUACACAAUAAAGGCAUCAGCCCCUCUCUCUAAACUGCCUAAAGAGAGGGGCUGCACAGUAAAGAAACUGACCAGCUAUACUGCAACAUACACCAACAUUAAUAAGACAGGGAAUUACAAUCCAAUAUCUACACUGUCCAUCACAACUUUUCAAAAUGGC
rnacentral:lncRNA from 1 species